GAUUAACGCUGGCGGCGUGCCUAACACAUGCAAGUCGAGCGGCAGCGAGUUUUACACUGAAUUCUGGAAGCUUCUAGUUGCAAGAGAAGAUUUAUUCAAGAAUUUUGUGUAAAAUGUCGGCGAGCGGCGGACGGCUGAGUAACGCGUGGGAACGUACCCCAAAGUGAGGGAUAACGCAUCGAAAGGUGUGCUAAUACCGCAUAUGGUCUUCGGAUUAAAGCCUUCGGGCGCUUUGGGGACGGCCUGCGUAAGAUUAGAUAGUUGGUGGGGUAAUGGCCUACCAAGUCGACGAUCUUUAACUGGUUUGAGAGGAUGAUCAGUCAGACUGGAACUGAGACACGGUCCAGACUCCUACGGGAGGCAGCAGUGAGGAAUCUUCCACAAUGGGCGAAAGCCUGAUGGAGCAACGCCGCGUGCAGGAUGAAGGCCUUCGGGUUGUAAACUGCUUUUAUAAGUGAGGAUUAUGACAGUAACUUAUGAAUAAGGAUCGGCUAGCUACGUG
rnacentral:rRNA from 1 species